GACAGAGGGGGCAAGCGUUGUUCGGAGUUACUGGGCGUAAAGCGCGCGUAGGCGGUACGGUAAGUAAGGUGUGAAAGCCCCAGGCUUAACCUGGGGAGGUCAUCUUCGACUGCCGCACUCGAGACCUGCAGAGGAUAGUGGAAUUGCCGGUGUAGUGGUGAAAUGCGUAGAGAUCGGCAGGAACACCAAGGGCGAAAGCAGCUAUCUGGGCAGGGUCUGACGCUGAGGUGCGAAAGCGUGGGGAGCGAACCGGG
rnacentral:rRNA from 1 species